UACGUAGGGUGCGAGCGUUAAUCGGAAUUACUGGGCGUAAAGCGUGCGCAGGCGGUUAUGUAAGACAGGUGUGAAAUCCCCGGGCUUAACCUGGGAACUGCGCUUGUGACUGCAUAACUCGAGUGUGGCAGAGGGGGGUGGAAUUCCACGUGUAGCAGUGAAAUGCGUAGAGAUGUGGAGGAACACCGAUGGCGAAGGCAGCCCCCUGGGUCAACACUGACGCUCAUGCACGAAAGCGUGGGGAGCAAAC
rnacentral:rRNA from 1 species